UACGUAGGGUGCGAGCGUUGUCCGGAAUUAUUUGGGCGUAAAGGGCUCGUAGGCGGUUUUGUCGCGUCGGGAGUGAAAUCCACUGGCUUAACUGGUGGCUUUGCUUUUCGAUACGGGCAGACUGGAGGUAUGCAGGGGAGAACGGAAUUCCUGGUGUAGCGGUGAAAUGCGCAGAUAUCAGGAGGAACACCGGUGGCGAAGGCGGUUCUCUGGGCAUGUCCUGACGUGAGGAGCGAAAGUGUGGGGAGCGAACAGG
rnacentral:rRNA from 1 species